rnacentral:rRNA from 1 species
GACGAACGCUGGCGGCGUGCUUAACACAUGCAAGUCGAACGGAAAGGCCCUGCUUUUGUGGGGUGCUCGAGUGGCGAACGGGUGAGUAACACGUGAGUAACCUGCCCUUGACUUUGGGAUAACUUCAGGAAACUGGGGCUAAUACCGGAUAGGAGCUCCUGCUGCAUGGUGGGGGUUGGAAAGUUUCGGCGGUUGGGGAUGGACUCGCGGCUUAUCAGCUUGUUGGUGGGGUAGUGGCUUACCAAGGCUUUGACGGGUAGCCGGCCUGAGAGGGUGACCGGCGACAUUGGGACUGAGAUACGGCCCAGACUCCUCCGGGAGGCAGCAGUGGGGAAUAUUGCACAAUGGGCGGAAGCCUGAUGCAGCAACGCCGCGUGCGGGAUGACGGCCUUCGGGUUGUAAACCGCUUUCGCCUGUGACGAAGCGUGAGUGACGGUAAUGGGUAAAGAAGCAACGGCUAACUACGUG